rnacentral:lncRNA from 1 species
GCCUUAUUUUACCAAUAUUUUUAGGUAAAUGCUCUCAAAAGCUUUGCAGUCACUUUUAUUCAAAUGAAACAAAAAAUGGCAUUAUCGCUUUCAAAAAGAAAAAGAGGGGAAAGGGGAAAAGAACAUGAAAAAGCAUAUAUUUGUUGCACCUUGAGACAUUCUUUCAUCACUGUGUUUGGACAAUGAGGAAAAGAAAAGAAGAAAUGGAAGUCGGAUAUUUCUUAGUUUCGAUAACUUGUGCACCACAUCGUCUAAAAGCCUAGACAUAAAACAAGAAAUGGCAGUUGGAUAUUUCUUAGUUUCGAUAACUUGUGUUCCACAUCGUCAAAAAGUCUAGACAUGAAAGAAGAAAUGGAAGUUGAAUAUUUCUUAGUUUCGAUAACUUGUGUUCCACAUCGUCAAAAAGUCUAGACACGAAACAAGAAAUGGAAGUUGAAUAUUUCUUAGUUUCGAUAACUUGUGUUCCACAUCAUCUAAAAGCCUAGACAUAAAACAAGUGUUCCAAGAGAAGACCCAAAAGAUCGACACCAAGGAAAAAUUACAGAACCAAGACCAAGUAAUCAUCGAUUGGGCUCGGAUCAACCAUUGUACCCGUCUAUACAAGGUGAUUAACUUACAAAACCACAGUCCCAAACUUGGCCCAGAGUCAGUCACUACAAUGGACCCAAGUCUCUCACAAAACCACAGAAAAUCCCUUUCAAAACCAACACCGAAGAAUCACCAAGAAUCCUCACACAUAAAACAGCCAGAAAACCAGAAGUUUUGAGGCUAAAAAAGAGGUUUCACAAAGAAGAAGAAAAGGGCAGAGACACACAAUCACGAGAGAGAGAGACUCAAAAGCUUCUCGAGGAAGCACACAAAGAGGCACAAAAAUAAUGACAUGGUU